CAGGAUUUNGAUACCCUGGUAGUCCACCCCGUAAACGUUGGGAACUAGUUGUGGGGUCCAUUCCACGGAUUCCGUGACGCAGCUAACGCAUUAAGUUCCCCGCCUGGGGAGUACGGCCGCAAGGCUAAAACUCAAAGGAAUUGACGGGGACCCGCACAAGCGGCGGAGCAUGCGGAUUAAUUCGAUGCAACGCGAAGAACCUUACCAAGGCUUGACAUAUAGAGGAAACGUCUGGAAACAGUCGCCCCGCAAGGUCUCUAUACAGGUGGUGCAUGGUUGUCGUCAGCUCGUGUCGUGAGAUGUUGGGUUAAGUCCCGCAACGAGCGCAACCCUCGUUCUAUGUUGCCAGCACGUAAUGGUGGGAACUCAUGGGAUACUGCCGGGGUCAACUCGGAGGAAGGUGGGGAUGACGUCAAAUCAUCAUGCCCCUUAUGUCUUGGGCUUCACGCAUGCUACAAUGGCCGGUACAAAGGGCUGCAAUACCGUGAGGUGGAGCGAAUCCCAAAAAGCCGGUCCCAGUUCGGAUUGAGGUCUGCAACUCGACCUCAUGAAGUCGGAGUCGCUAGUAAUCGCAGAUCAGCAACGCUGCGGUGAAUACGUUCCCGGGUCUUGUACACACCGCCCGUCAAGUCAUGAAAGUCGGUAACACCUGAAGCCGGUGGCCCAACCCUUGUGGAGGGAGCCGUCGAANGUGGGAUCGGUAAUUAGNNACUAAGUCG
rnacentral:rRNA from 1 species